rnacentral:rRNA from 1 species
UACAGGGGGUGCAAACGUUGCUCGGAAUCAUUGGCCGUAAAGCGCACGUAGGCGGUUCGUUAUGUCGGAUGUGAAAGCCCUUGGCUUAACCGAGGAAGUGCAUCCGAAACUGGCGAGCUAGAGUACGAAAGAGGAUCGCGGAAUUCCCGGUGUAGAGGUGAAAUUCGUAGAUAUCGGGAGGAACACCGGUGGCGAAGGCGGCGAUCUGGGGUCGAUACUGACGCUGAGGUGCGAAAGCGUGGGGAGCAAACAGG